AGGGUGUGCUCGUCAGAGCAGGGGCCUGAGGAAUGGCGCCUCGGUUCACGACACGCCAGACAGGAGCUCGGGGCUGCUGUGCGCAGGGGCACAGCAUUCUCGCCCUUCCUGUGAGCACGCACCCUGCUUGU